GCCUGGGUGGCUCAGUCGGUUGAGUGUCUGACUUUGGCUCAGGUUAUGAUCUCACAGUCUGUGGGUUCGAGCCCCACGUCGGGCU
rnacentral:tRNA from 1 species